rnacentral:rRNA from 1 species
UACGUAGGUGGUUUUGUAAGCGUGGGGUGAAAGACCGAGGCUUAACUUCGGUUAGCCUUGCGAACUGCAAGACUUGAGUGCAGGAGAGGAAAGUGGAAUUCCUAGUGUAGCGGUGAAAUGCGUAGAUAUUAGGAGGAACAUCAGUGGCGAAGGCGACUUUCUGGACUGUAACUGACACUGAGGUACGAAAGCGUGGGUAGCAAACA